rnacentral:tRNA from 1 species
GGCUAGUUAGCUUAGUUGUUUAAAGCGUUGAGCUAAUAAUGCAAAGGACGUAAGUUUGAGACCUUCAUGGGUCA